AUGUCCUUUUAGUCUAAUCGUAAUAUUAUGCCUUGGAGCAUAUGAUGGGGGUCAAAUCGCAGUUAUGAACUGCAUUGCACGUGCAUGAAGGCGAAUGCUUUUUCUGGAUGCCAUUGCCAUCUGGUACGUUGAGUUUAUCAGUGAGUAAUUGGUACAAAGUUCAGAUUAUCAGUUUAUGUUUGUCUUGGCAGAUCGAUGGUUUCGCCGCGGUCGUCGGGAGAAAUAUCAUCGACGGUAGGGGAAAAGCGGGUAGGCUGAGGCGGGCACCCACACCAAGCGGCCGACCCACGAAGGCGGCCAUGCAGCUCCGCCUCGUGCCUCUCUCCCCAUCUCUAUGUUCGUGUCAAACCCAGCGCAAGGUAGAGGCAGAAGAGGAGGCCGGGAAGAGAAGCUGCAAGAGAAAGUUGUUGAAGUGGAAGAAGGUGAACCUGUAGAAGAGCUGAAAAAAGGACCUGGUAGAGACAAGGAAGCAAAGCCUAAACAGUAUAAUGAUUACUACCUCGCCCAGCCGCGCAUCCAAGAUGCGGCGCUUGCUGGAAAGCUGGUCAAGUAGGUCCUCGACUGCGAGAUUUAGCUGAUUGAUCCUGUGCAUUAGCCUAAUUGUUACAAUAAACGGACUUACAACAAUGAUGCUUUCUAUAUUGAAUUCUUAUAUUAGACCUCACCAUUGCUUAGUUUCCUUUCCUGAUGUCAAGACACAAAGAAUUUGAGAUUCAAUUUAUCUUUUUUAGUUUUCACACUAGAGUGCUUCAUUUAUAUGUAUUACUGUAGACACAUGGGAAUCCUCAAGGUGUCAGGCUUGUUCUUAUUA